UGAUCCAGCCAUGCCGCGUGAGUGAUGAAGGCCUUAGGGUCGUAAAGCUCUUUCGCCUGUGAUGAUAAUGACAGUAGCAGGUAAAGAAACCCCGGCUAACUCCGUGCCAGCAGCCGCGGUAAUACGGAGGGGGUUAGCGUUGUUCGGAAUUACUGGGCGUAAAGCGCGCGUAGGCGGAUUAGUCAGUUAGAGGUGAAAUCCCAGGGCUCAACCCUGGAACUGCCUUUAAUACUGCUAGUCUUGAGUUCGAGAGAGGUGAGUGGAAUUCCGAGUGUAGAGGUGAAAAUUCGUAGAUAUUCGGAGGAACACCAGUGGCGAAGGCGGCUCACUGGCUCGAUACUGACGCUGAGGUGCGAAAGUGUGGGGAGCAAACAGGAUUAGAUACCCUGGUAG
rnacentral:rRNA from 1 species